rnacentral:tRNA from 1 species
GCGGGAGUAGCUCAGUUGGCAGAGCGUCAGCCUUCCAAGCUGAGGGUCGC